ACGGGGUGCAGCAGGCGCGAAACCUCUACAAUGCACGAAAGUGUGAUAGGGGAAUUCCACGUGCAGACUAUGUCUGCUUUUCUCAAGUUUAAAAUCCUUGGGGAAUAAGGGCUGGGCAAGACCCGUGCCAGCCGCCGCGGUAAUACGGGCAGCUCUAGUGGCGUUCGCGAAUAUUGGGCCUAAAGCGUUCGUAGCUUGCCUUGUCAGUCUCCGGUGAAAGCUUGCGACUUAAUCGUGAGAGUUGCCGGAGAAACAGCAAGGCUUGGGGCCGGGAUGGGUCAGAGGUAUUCCUUGGGUAGGAGUAAAAUCCUGUAAUCCUUGGAGGACCAACAGUGGCGAAGGCGUCUGACUAGAACGGGCCCGACAGUGAGGGACGAAAGCUAGGGGAGCGACCCGGAUUAGAUACCCGGUUAGUCCUAGCCGUAAAUGAUGCAGGUUUUGUGUUGCAUUCCGUACGUCGGAAUGCAGUGCCGAAGGAAACCGUUAAACCUGCCGCCUGGAA
rnacentral:rRNA from 1 species